rnacentral:lncRNA from 1 species
GAUGCAAUUAAGCACAUUCUAACUUAUACUAAAUUUCUUAAGAAACUUUGCACCCAAAAGCAUGAGUCGAAAAUCAUAAAAAGAAUUAUGCUGUCUGAGGAUGUAAGUGCAAUCCUAUUGAACCCAUUGCCUAAAAAAAUGAAAGACCCUAGAGCUCCUUUAAUUUCAUGUGUUAGGAGGCAUCAUCUUUGAUUGAGUCCUCUUAGAUUUAAGAGCUAGUGUG